rnacentral:rRNA from 1 species
AUUGAACGCUGGCGGCAUGCCUUACACAUGCAAGUCGAACGGUAACGGGCCUUCGGGUGCCGACGAGUGGCGAACGGGUGAGUAAUACAUCGGAACGUGCCCGAUCGUGGGGGAUAACGAGGCGAAAGCUUUGCUAAUACCGCAUACGAUCUACGGAUGAAAGCAGGGGACCGCAAGGCCUUGCGCGGACGGAGCGGCCGAUGGCAGAUUAGGUAGUUGGUGGGAUAAAAGCUUACCAAGCCGACGAUCUGUAGCUGGUCUGAGAGGAUGAUGAGCCACACUGGGACUGAGACACGGCCCAGACUCCUCCGGGAGGCAGCAGUGGGGAAUUUUGGGCAAUGGGCGCAAGCCUGAUCCAGCCAUGCCGCGUGCAGGAUGAAGGCCUUCGGGUUGUAAACUGCUUUUGUACGGAAUGAAAAGCCUUCUUCUAAUACAGGAGGGUCAUGACGGUACCGUAAGAAUAAGCACCGGCUAACUACGUGCCAGCCGCCGCCGUAA